AGGCAACGAUCAGUAGGGGUUCUGAGAGGAAGGUCCCCCACAUUGGAACUGAGACACGGUCCAAACUCCUACGGGAGGCAGCAGUGAGGAAUAUUGGUCAAUGGACGAGAGUCUGAACCAGCCAAGUAGCGUGCAGGAUGACGGCCCUAUGGGUUGUAAACUGCUUUUAUAAGGGAAUAAAGUGAGUCUCGUGAGACUUUUUGCAUGUACCUUAUGAAUAAGGACCGGCUAAUUCCGUGCCAGCAGCCGCGGUAAUACGGAAGGUCCGGGCGUUAUCCGGAUUUAUUGGGUUUAAAGGGAGCGUAGGCCGGAGAUUAAGCGUGUUGUGAAAUGUAGAUGCUCAACAUCUGCACUGCAGCGCGAACUGGUUUCCUUGAGUACGCACAAAGUGGGCGGAAUUCGUGGUGUAGCGGUGAAAUGCUUAGAUAUCACGAAGAACUCCGAUUGCGAAGGCAGCUCACUGGAGCGCAACUGACGCUGAAGCUCGAAAGUGCGGGUAUCGAACAGGAUUAGAUACCCUGGUAGUCCGCACGGUAAACGAUGGAUGCCCGCUGUUGGUCUGAAUAGGUCAGCGGCCAAGCGAAAGCAUUAAGCAUCCCACCUGGGGAGUACGCCGGCAACGGUGAAACUCAAAGGAAUUGACGGGGGCCCGCACA
rnacentral:rRNA from 1 species